rnacentral:lncRNA from 1 species
CUUGAGGCAGAGCUGUCUCAGAGCCCUGCCAUGGCAGCUGGCUGGCUGCCGACGGAGGGGCAGCAGGUUAACAGCGAUGAGACAGCCCUUCAUCCCUCCCUCCUUGUGGCUUUCCCUGCAUGUUUGUCUUUGUAUAUAUUGGCAAUCUCCUGGAGCAGUGACUCUCCUGACUGGUUCUCAGUGCAUAUAUUUUUAAGAGAAGACAGAAGGAGGAGCUAUUUGCGGUGGCUUCCUGAAAUUAUUGCUGUUCAGCUGCAGAGCAGAGAUAACAUGGAUUCCCUCGAUCUCAGCCAUUCAUCUGCAUGUGUUCUGCAAAGAAGUCAAGGGAGAAGCUGUUCACUUCAAGCUCAUAUCCAGUGCUAUGUCAUCAAAAGCUCUGAUAUCUGCAAGGAUCAGUGAUGUCAGAGUGCAGCUGAGCUGAGCUUGGUUCCAGAAAGGGAUUCUGAUUACUCCUGCAAAGAACCUGUACUCCAUCUACUAUGGCAAGAUGAUGAAGAAACAGACUCACCAGCAUAUUU